UAGGGAAUCUUCCACAAUGGACGCAAGUCUGAUGGAGCAACGCCGCGUGAGUGAAGAAGGUUUUCGGAUCGUAAAGCUCUGUUGUUGGUGAAGAAGGAUAGAGGCAGUAACUGGUCUUUAUUUGACGGUAAUCAACCAGAAAGUCACGGCUAACUACGUGCCAGCAGCCGCGGUAAUACGUAGGUGGCAAGCGUUGUCCGGAUUUAUUGGGCGUAAAGCGAGCGCAGGCGGAAUGAUAAGUCUGAUGUGAAAGCCCACGGCUCAACCGUGGACUGCAUCGGAAACUGUCAUUCUUGAGUGCAGAAGAGGAGAGUGGAAUUCCAUGUGUAGCGGUGGAAUGCGUAGAUAUAUGGAAGAACACCAGUGGCGAAGGCGGCUCUCUGGUCUGCAACUGACGCUGAGGCUCGAAAGCAUGGGUAGCGAACAGG
rnacentral:rRNA from 1 species